rnacentral:lncRNA from 1 species
GAUGAAAAAGUGACAUGGAGAGCUUCUGAACUCAUGCAGACUAUAGUUGUCUAAAUUCACCAUGUGAAGUUUUGUAUGAUAAUACAAAUUCUCACUCAGCUGCAAAUUCCUGAUAGAUCUUGUUUCCUUUCUGUGCUGGUUCCUGUACUAGGUGUUCUGAUUCUCUCUUCAAAGCCCCCUGGGAUGAUUUAGUCUUUCUGGUACCAAAACACAGGUCAGAUCUCCACAUUUGACAGUUUCCCUGUGCCAAACUGACAUCAACAUGAGUAAUGAAGCAUGUCACGGUGUUGAUGAAUUGUUGACAGAACAGAAAACUGGAGACAGUUCUACCGUGCACAUCGCACUGCACAAAUGGAGGACAUAUCUGAAAAGCCAUGGAUGUGAUGGAGAGAAACAUAUUGCAAAUGUCCUGCAGAAAGAUGAGGCAAAAACCCUGAAGUUUUGUAGCUUAAGAAGGUUAAAGAUCAAGAAUUUUUCUAUGUCCAGAAUAGAAUAUUUUGCUCUCAACCCUUUAUUUUUCAUUAUAACUACAGUGUGACCAGCCUGGUUUUUACAUUGUCAUUUGUUCAUGUGUUUCAAGCAUGAUACCUCUGUUUAAUUAGGGAUGUGUCAUUAGGAAGUGCCUAAGGGUGGUAUGGUGGAGAUUGCUUUUGAGACAAAACCCCUCUUCCCAUUUGUAUUGUAUUGCAUGCAGGAACCCUGGAGUGUAUGUGUUUGCAGUAGAAUAAUAAGAUGAAGGAAGUCUGUCCUCUUCCAUUUCCUUGCCACCCCGGUAUGGCAAAAGUAAUAGACUCUACACAGCUAGGAAGGCUUGUGUGAUGGGGUCCUUUCUGAGGAUGGUGCUGGCAUAGCCACCUCCUCUUCCUUUCUCUGCAGGUUCUAGCACAGGCAGAGAGAAAAGAAUCACACAGACAUGACACUUAAUGGCAUAUAAUUCAGGGGGAAUAUUAGUAAAGGUCAGUUAUAGCCAUUUUUCUGCUACACUUUUUCAAACUUCAGAAAACUUCAGGCUAUCAGUUAACUUGGUUGUAGGUUCAUGUAAGAACUACUUAGAUCUGCUGGGUUUCCUUUACCUUUAAGUCUAAUAAAAAGAGUGAUCCAGUGUCUUGCA